AUUGAACGCUGGCGGAAUGCUUUACACAUGCAAGUCGAACGGCAGCACGGACUUCGGUCUGGUGGCGAGUGGCGAACGGGUGAGUAAUACAUCGGAACGUGCCCAGUCGUGGGGGAUAACGUAGCGAAAGCUACGCUAAUACCGCAUACGUUCUAAGGAUGAAAGCGGGGGAUCGCAAGACCUCGCGCGAUUGGAGCGGCCGAUGGCAGAUUAGGUAGGUGGUGGGGUAAAGGCUCACCAAGCCGACGAUCUGUAGCUGGUCUGAGAGGACGACCAGCCACACGGGGACUGAGACACGGCCCAGAAUCCUACGGGAGGCAGCAGUGGGGAAGUUUGGACAAUGGGCGCAAGCCUGAUCCAGCCAUUCCGCGUGCAGGAUGAAGGCCCUCGGGUUGUAAACUGCUUUUGUACGGAACGAAAAGGCUCUGGUUAAUACCCGGGGCUCAUGACGGUACCGUAAGAAUAAGCACCGGCUAACUACGUGCCAGCCGCCGCAGUAA
rnacentral:rRNA from 1 species